rnacentral:rRNA from 1 species
GUGCCAGCAGCCGCGGUAAUACCGGCAGCCCGAGUGAUGGCCGAUCUUAUUGGGCCUAAAGCGUCCGUAGCUGGCUGCGCAAGUCCGUCGGGAAAUCCACUCGUCCAACGAGUGGGCGUCCGACGGAAACUGCACAGCUUGGGACCGGAAGGCUCAAAGGGUACGUUCGGGGUAGGAGUGAAAUCCCAUAAUCCCACACGGACCACCGAUGGCGAAAGCACUUCGAGAAAACGGAUCCGACAGUGAGGGACGAAAGCUAAGAUCGCGAACCGGAUUAGAUACCCCUGUAGUCC